UUGAAGUGUCCAUGCUAAAACUUGGGUUAUAUGCAAGUAGAGUCUUUAUUGGUAGAGUAGGGUGAUCAGACGUCCCCGUUUUCCGGGGGCAGUCCCCGUUUUUGGUGGCCUGUCCCCGGCAAUGUCCCCGUUUUUAACUCUGCGUUAAAAACAGACUGCAAAGUGAAAUAAUAUUUUACGUGGCAAGAAAGACUGGACAGCAGAGUCUGUCGGUUGACGUCUCAAUCGCGUUGUGCUUAUUUUGUCCAGCAGAUGGGGCUGCUCACUAUAUCAUUUCCAUUCACUCUUCUCCUACUAACUACUUGCUCGCGCUAGUUUUAGAGAAAACUUCUGUGGAAAAAUCAGCCAGAAGCUUAGCAAGUGUCAAGUGAAUCCACAACAUCACGUCUUUUCAAGCCAGAGUGGAGAGGAUGAAGACUGGAGAGGAUGAAGACUGGAGAGGAUGAAGACUGGAUAGGAAGAAGAGUGAAAGAGGAGGAAAGAUUGGAGAAGAAGGAAAGAUGAAGGGAGUAAAAAGAGUGAAGCGAGGAGAGUGGAAGAGUGAGGUGGAAAGGCAACCUCAGCGUGAAGAGAUCCAGGAGGCAGCAGACACACUGCAGGAAAAAUGCCCCAAUGUGGCCAUCGAUGAGGAUGCAUUGUUUGACGAGGUUACUGGAUUGCAACGGUUCCUAAAGGGUUACCCACUUCAAAGAGAACGACAUCUCACACACUAACCUGGCUAAAAUUAGGCUCUGUUGUCAUGUGCUUACCUGGAAGUAAAGCACCAGUCGAGAGAGUGUUCUCCUAAAUGAAUGAUCUAUGGACAGCAGCAAGAAAUAGGUUCACUGUUCCUACCAUCAAGGCCAUGCUUAUUGUGAAGACAAACUUCAACCUCCUCUGCCAGGAGUUCAUGGAGAAGCUGGCCUGAAGACAUAGCAAUCCUGAAGGAGAUACAUUCUUCUGAGAAAUAUACAGAUUAGGCCACCAGGACCACUGAAUGGCUGUUCAGAUCAGUUCUACCCAGACUACCAGGACCACUGAAUGGCUGUUCAGAUCAGUUCUACCCAGACUACCAGGACCACUGAAUGGCUGUUCAGAUCAGUUCUACCCAGACUACCAGGACCACUGAAUGGCUGUUCAGAUCAGUUCUACCCAGACUACCAGGACCACUGAAUGGCUGUUCAGAUCAGUUCUACCCAGACUACCAGGACCACUGAAUGGCUGUUCAGAUCAGUUCUACCCAGACUACCAGGACCACUGAAUGGCUGUUCAGAUCAGUUCUACCCAGACUACCAGGACCACUGAAUGGCUGUUCAGAUCAGUUCUACCCAGGCCACCAGGACCACUGAAUGGCUGUUCAGAUUGGACAGUUCUGUCUUGUCUGUAGUGUUUCUGUAAUGUAGUUGUUUUUUUCUAUCACAGUGUGCCUGUUAGACUAAAUACAUGAAACCGGAAUUGUCCCUCUUUUUAAAAAAUUUCAUAGAUAAUAACAUUGGAUAUUUGAAUGAUAUAUUGACCGCCGAACUGGAAAUGUCCCCGGUUUUAAUUUCAGAAAUCUGGUCACCUUAUGGUAGAGGUGACAUCUUAUGGGGAUGUACAGUAGGCCUAUACAGAAGAUGUUGUAGAAUUAUAACCAAACAAACGAAUAACCUGGAAUCCUCUAUAUAUCUACUCUAAAUAUAGUUAAUAAUCUGAUACAUUUCCUACCCUUUCAGUGAGGCAGCAAAUCUCUUUCAAUUGUGAACAGUUGUCAUAGCAACAGCAGGGGAUGACUCAAAUGCCAAUUCUAAAUCCAGGCCAUCUGUGUGUGUCUUGUGUCUGGUUGCACUGUGUAAAAUAUGAGUAUUACGAAUAUUGUGUGUUGUCCGAGUAUGUGUACUGUGUUCCUACGUAUGAUCAUGUUUGUGAGGCUGUGUUCACGUGAUUCUCGCUCUCUC